rnacentral:rRNA from 1 species
CCCUUAGAUGUUCUGGGCCGCACGCGUGCUACACUGAUGCAUUCAACGAGUCUAAAACCUGGUCUGAUAGGGCUGGGUAAUCUUUCGAAAGUGCAUCGUGAUUGGGAUAGAUGAUUGCAAUUCUUCAUCUUCAACGAGGAAUGCCUAGUAAACGCAAGUCAUCAGCUUGCAUUGAUUACGUCCCUGCCCUUUGUACACACCGCCCGUCGCUCCUACCGAUUGAAUGAUCCGAUGAAUACCAUGGAUUGAGAGUACGAAUAGGUUCGCUUAUUUCUGCUGCUCGAGAAGUGGAGUAAAUCUUAUCAUUUAGAGGAAGGAGAAGUCGUAACA